UGAAUAGGUGGUUAAGUAAGUCUUUAGUGAAAGACCAGGGCUCAACUCUGGUAAUGCUGAAGAUACUGCUUGACUUGAGGCUGGGAGAGGCGAGUGGAAUUGCUGGUGAAGGGGUUAAAUCCGUUGAUAUCAGCAGGAACACCAAAGGCGAAGGCAACUCGCUAGAACAGUUCUGACACUAAUUUCACGAAAGCGUGGGGAGCGAACAGGAUUAGAUACCCUGGUAGUCC
rnacentral:rRNA from 1 species